rnacentral:lncRNA from 1 species
UGCCUGUGUUGUACUCAUCUCUUUAUCAUAAGUGUCCUAAAUAAUGAAAGAACAAUUCUUCAAGAGAAAAGGAGUGGUCAGCCCCUUUACCCUCCUGUCAAGGAAAAUUAAGCCUGAAGGUCAUACUAUUGGAUGCUUAAAGGCCCUGCCGAUUCAUCACAAGACAGUUUCCACAAACUGAUGGGAGAGAGACACUUGCAAGGCUUAGAGAACAACACUGUCAGUCUGGAGUAAGUGACAAAAAUAAGAAAGGGAAGUCUAUCCUGAUGCCCAGCCAGGGAAAAAUGGGAAGAAAGAGAAGAGAAGAGAAGAGACAGAGAGGUUAUCGCAGGAGUGGGACUGGUGACUAAAGAGGAAAUGAGACCUAAGCUAGCCUCCUUGCCAUGUGAUACUCUGCACCACCUUGAGACUCUGCAGAGAGUACCCACCAACAAGGAAGCUCUCACCAGAUGCGCCCCCUUGACCUUGGACUUCUCCACCUCCAGAACAGUACAAAAUAAAUUUCAUUUCUCAUAAAUUACUCAGUUUCAGAAAUCCUGUUUAAGCAACAGAAAAUGGACUAAGCUACUGCCCUGCUGAUCAGCCAGCCACCUGUACAUGUGCACACCCAGAUGACAUAUGCAAGAAUGUUCAGACCAUGGUAGAUGUUUCCAAAGAUGGCCCCCAUCAAGUCCUUACCCCUGUGCAUGCAUAUGCCCCUUCUCCCAUUCAGUUACCCCCCUUCCCUUGAGACUGAGUUGGUGCUGUAACUGCUUUUACCAAUAGGAUGCAGACAAAAAUAAUGUUCUGAGAAUUUCGAGAUCAAAACCUAACAGACUGAUAGCUUCCAUGUCCUUCUUCUUGGAACAUUCACUCAUAGAAUGCUCCCUCUCAGAACACAGAUACCAUGAGAGAAGUCCAACCGGGUCAUGUGGAGAGGCCACAUGGAAAAGAACUGAGGCCCAACAGCCCACACCACCUUCCAGUCAUGGGAAUGAACCUUAUUGGAUGUUCCAGCUUUGUCAAACCCCCAGAUGGCUUCAGACCCAACCAAGUUUAUGUGAAACAGAAGAGUCACACAGCUGAACCCACUCAACCCACUAAAUUGUGAGAGAUAAUAACAGGUUGUUGUUUGAAGCCACUACACUUUUUUGUGGUUAUGCCGCAACAGAAAAAUGAAACGCAGACCUCUCAAAAUCACAAGUCCACACUGUGAAUAUAUAAAUUUUAGCAAAGCACCCACUAUAGGCCUGCUUCUUUAAUAUAUAUUUUCUCAGUUAAUGCUCAAAACUAUGCUAAGACAUCAGCUUUCUCAUGGCAGAGAGAUUAUGUAAGAGGCAGAACUGAAACUCAAGGCACACUUCCUGGCCCUAAUUGAUGUGUUUGUCUCACUGCAUCUCAGAAGCUGGGACAAGUGACUCUGCGGGGUCAAUUCUCAGCUCUCUGAACAUGUAUCUGCUUUGGGGAUCAGUAUUACCAUGUGUGUUUUCAGGAUCAUGCUCUUCUAUCAUGUAGCCACCAAUGUGCGGCAAUGGAGAACUUUUUAUACAGUAUCCUAACAAAAAUUAGGAAGUCAUCAUUAGAUUCCCCCAAUCAAAUGUAUAAGACAGUACAGAAACAUAAUAAAAGCACAUCUAAAAGCCUCUUGGUAGAUUCAUGCAUCAGAUAAGAUGAUGGGUUAUACAAACUCUGAAGUCCUUUUUCUUCCAGCAAUCUAUGACCUGCCAAGCGCUGUGCAUAAUUCCUUACGUGCAUGAUCUCAUUUAACUUUCUCAAUAAGCCUAUACUUAUAAAGCAGAAACUGUUUUCUUUAGAGGUCUUUGGGGUCUUACUCUGUUACCCUGCUUGGUAUGCAGUGUGCAAACACAGCUCACUUUAACCUCAAACUCCUACACUCAGGACAUCCUCCCACCUCCACCUCCUGAGUAACUGGAACUACAGGCAAACACCACCGUGAGCAGCUAAUUUAACUUAUUUAUGUAUUUAUUUUUUAUUUGUUUAUUUUUAUCUUUUUUUAUUUUUUUAUUUUUUUGAGACAGA